UGGCAUUUAUUUUCAUCUUAGCACGCAAACCCACAAUUACGAUGAAUUUCCUACACAUAUUGUUUUGCUCUGGUCUAAGAGGAGCCAUGAGUUUCGUCCUAGCAAUAAGAAAUACUAUUUCUGAUUCACGACAAUCAAUGUUGACAACUACGAGUCUUAUUGUAUUUUUAGUUGGUUUAAAGUUCCAAUCGGAGCAGAUGAAAAAAUAAAAAGACUUACUUUAUUGACAUCUGCCACUCUUGAUCAAGUUAGACAUGUGGAAUCAAAUAAUUUGAGAAGAGCUAAUUCAGAUUCAGAUUUAUUUCUAGCAAACUUGUAUCAGUACGAUAAAGUAAAAAGGAGAGAAAAGGCAGGUAAAUGGAAUACCGAAAGUCAACUCUGCUUGUUGAUAGCUUGUGCUGUAUUGCGAUCAGGUAACCAAACAUCUAUUCGUCAACACGAACGUGAUGUUAUGAUAGGAAUAUAAACUUCUACUGUAAAACUGGAGAGGAUCACGAUUCGCACAGUUUAAUAUGUCAUUGACUGCCGUAAAAUAACGGCAGAAGUCUGCUUAACGAUCAAGAAGUGCUGUCUGGGUCGUCCGAUUCUUUGUUAUUCUUCAGAAAAACUGGGCGUUGAAGGUACCACGUCAAUUGCUACUAAAUUAGCAAUGCAAAUUAAUUGUUAAAUUGGAGGUGUCCCUUGGAGUCUUGACUUGGAAAUGUCGGGAUUCAUGGUCAUUUGAUUUGACGUAAUGAUCCUCAUCAACAAGAAACUGAUUUCAGUA